rnacentral:lncRNA from 1 species
AAGUAUGCCAUAUUAUCAUGCGAUCAUAUGUCCUUAAUUUUAUGUAUUAUAACCUUAUUUUACAAAAUCUAAAUUAGAUUUGUUGAUUUCUAUCCCCUCUACCAGGUUCUUGAUGCUAGUUCGCAUGAGCCAUGGGGUCCUCAUGGAACACUGCUUGCAGACAUUGCUCAGGUAGAAACCCGUAAGUUUUGGCAUCUAAAUUUUAUGCUAGAUAUUCUGCGUUUCACAGCAUAGACUCUCAUUUUUUCGUGUACCUGCAGUCAUGAAUACCAGAUGAUCAUGUCAGUCAGUAGUCUGGAAACAAAUUAACGACACUGGCAAGAAUUGGCGGUAUAUUUACAAGG